rnacentral:rRNA from 1 species
AACGCGAAGAACCUUACCUACCCUUGACAUCCCGCGAAGGAUACAGAGAUGUAUUUGUGCCGAAAGGAACGCGGAGACAGGUGCUGCAUGGCUGUCGUCAGCUCGUGUUGUGAGAUGUUGGGUUAAGUCCCGUAACGAGCGCAACCCUUGUCCUUAGUUACCAGCACGUAGAGGUGGGAACUCUAAGGAGACUGCCGGUGAAGAACCGGAGGAAGGCGGGGACGACGUCAAGUCAUCAUGGCCUUUAUGGGUAGGGCCACACACGUGCUACAAUGGUCAGUACAGAGGGAAGCCAACUCGCGAGAGGGAGCGGAUCCCAGAAAGCUGAUCGUAGUCCGGAUUGAAGUCUGCAACUCGACUUCAUGAAGUCGGAAUCGCUAGUAAUCGCGAAUCAGAAUGUCGCGGUGAAUACGUUCCCGGGCCUUGUACACACCGACUGUAC